rnacentral:tRNA from 1 species
UGGCUAAAUUGGUAGAGAAUGGUGCUUACACCGCCAUGGUUGUGGGUUUGAUUCCCAC